rnacentral:lncRNA from 1 species
UUGUGAUGACAUUAUUCCAGAAAAAUCUCCUUCUUUUGAAAUCAGAUGAUUAGCAACCUUACGUCCAUUUGCUACCUAAUUCUACUUUGCCAUGUAAGAUAACAUAGUUACAGUUUCUGGGCAUUAGAAGUUGGAUAUCUUUAGGGUUGUAAUUUUGCCUAUUAUAAUCGAGUAGCAGUUUAAAAAAAAUCUGGGUUUCCCUUCUAUUGCACCUGCUCACAGUGGGGAAAGCCAGUGAGCGGUGUGUUCUUUUACAGAACAGUCAAGUCAGAGCUGCUGGGUAUAUGAAAACAUCUCCCUCUGUUCCCCUUGCUCUCCUUUCCCACUGCUAAGAAGAGCAGUGAGAGCCUGUCAUUCUCUGGGCUUCCCACAGCUGCUGUCACACCACUUGAAAACAGAGCCCAGGUGACCAGCAUUCCCAAUCCAUCCUGGGACGAGGCAAUAUGUGAGCUGCCAUAUGCUCCGGUGGGUUCCGGCUGACGCUGAGCAGGUGUAUGGCAUCCGGGCCAAGCAUGUGGAGGGUGGCAGAUUCACAGAGGGGAGGUACCAUUUUCAAUUUACCAGAGAAAGACUAGGAAAUAACAGAGCACUGGGUGUAUUUGCCUCUCUCCUGCUUCCCAAUCAUUUCUGAUGAAAUAGAAGAUGGCUCUGGUUUUCAUUCUGAAAAAUCCAAGGAAACACUUUGUUGCCUGUGCUGAUUUAAAAAUUAUUCUCCCACAUUCAGAAUCCAUCAAUUAUCAAGAUGCAGAAGCCUCCAAAUAUUUAUAAUGACAGCACUAUCAUUAUGUUAAGUUAUUAUGACAAGAAGGGGAGGAGAACAGUUUAACCUCAAAGUGUGUUUUCUGUGCAUCAAUUGAGGAUUCUGAUAACAAAUUUGCAAUAUACAGUCAGGUCUCAAUAACAAUUUUUUACAGAGACCACUGCAUUUAUAUACCUGAGCAUCUUUAUUCCUAAAUACAUCUAUAUAUACAAAUGCCCUUUUAAAUUAAAUGUAUCAUCUCUGAUGGUGGGUGAAGGGAAGAGAAGAAAAUCCAGAAUGAAAUGAAUGGUACUCCGCAAACAACCCAAGUUGAUUUCACUGACAUUGGCCCUGAAGAAUUCAUCUUAAUCCAUGUGAUUACUUCUGCUCCUGUAAAAAUGAGUGAUUGGGACACAUAAAAUAUGCUAUCAACUUUUACCAAAAACUAAGCAGUUUAGAUCAUUUAUUUCCAUAAAAUGAGACUGCGCAUCAUAUGUCAAGUUGGUACAUUUUAUGUGUGACUGGCUUUAGAGACUGAGUUGACAAUCUAGUUCUAAUUAUUUGCACUCUCCUUAGUCUGUUACUGCUUGAUGAUACAGAGUCCCAUGUCAUCUCCCAGAGGAGGGAAAGAAAGGACAGUAUGUGGGCCGAUGGGAAGCAGGUGAGAAAGAUCCACUGGGCUUUUGAAUGCAGAUGAUGCCCAGUGUGAAGAGGAGCCCAGGCGACUGAAGGACCCUGAUUGGAGUGUGUUCCAUCUGUUCCUCCUCUGGCCUUUUCAUUAAUGUUGCUUAAAGCUAAGCAGAGUCCCAGCUGGUGAAAAGGUAUCUGUCUGACAGGCCCAAGGCCUGAAUUUGUUCUCCCAGGGUAGGGUCAAAUGCUUGUAAGAGCCUUGCAAUGCCCACCUUCAAUUUCAUGUCAAAAUGCAGUUCAGGACUUCGAUGUGGUCAGGGAAUAAGCAUGACCUCGGUCAAUCAGGUGGCCUUGGGUUUGCAUCACAGCAUUCCCAUGUCCUUGCUGUGGGUCCAUCAGGACCCUGGUUAAACUAUAAUGUCUUCAUCUGAAAUCAAAUUGAAAUUUAAUCACGUCAGUUCCAGGGCUAUAGUGAGACAUAUUUGUGAGACUUCAAUGAAUAUGAAGUUUCCUUCUUCCACAUUAUCUACAUUGUAUGUGGAUGAAGAAAAGAAAUUGCUAAAGAGGCAGCUGCUUUUACACUUCUGAUAAUUUUUAAAAAAUGGAAUAUACAUGCAAAAAACCUCAAGUAGCAUUUUCAAAUGCACUGGGUCUUUUAUCCUAGCCAGUAUUUUGUAAUAGUUUAAAGAGCACAGAUCUGGAGCAAAAUUGCCUGUAUUCCAAUUCAGUGCUGCUACUUACUACCUGUGCAUUCUUGGACAAGUAAUUGAACCUCUCUCUGCUUCAGUUUCAUGAUCUGCAAUAUGGAGGUAAGAGUGAUUACUUCAUAGGGCUGGUAUAAGAAUUUGAUGAAUGAAUAUUGGUAAAGCACAGACUAGUGCUUGCCACUUAGUGUUUGUUGUUACUAUUUUUCAAAAAUAUGUUAAUAUUAUUAUCACUACCUUCCCUUCCCUUGCCUGGCUCUGCAUUUAGGCUGCUCAUUCAUUCCCACUGGGAAAGGAUUGUUUCAGAAAGGAAAUAAGAGUCUUACUGUGGUCUUUGAAUUUCAGAUGCCUAGAUCUCAGGGAAAUAGGAAUGACUCAGAGCAGAGUAAAAAAUACAAGUAAGGCUUCCUGCUUCUGAGACUAGAAUGGUGUUCUGGAGAUGGGGAAAAAGAAGAAAAUGGAACUAUACAUGUAGUUGACAUUGAUGGCUGUCUGGAAGUCAUCCUUCCCCCUGACUUCACUGACCCUGUGUGUGGCUAAGGGCCAGGGGUGGAAGGAAUGAUAAGAACCCCAGAGAAAUCUGUGAAAUGCAAGAGCAGAGGAGACAUGUGCUUCCUUUCAGGGUAGAGUCCCCUGGAGAGCAAGACCCCAAAGGAAGAGUAUCUGUGUUGCGUAUCCAGGCAGGGUUGGGAGAACCUCACAAAAAUUCUCUAGACCACAGCCUGGUUUAGACACAGUGAUUCUUUUGCAUCUGAGAGGGAGGCCAAAUUAUUAACUAGAAAAAGCCAGACCUGAGGGAGCCUUGAGAAUUGGAAUAGGGAUGAUUUCUGGUGAUCUGCAUGGACUAAAGACCAAGGAUGAGAUGUCAUGAGGGAUGUUUCAAUAGAUGUCAGCCCGGGCAAAUGACACUGAGUUCCUAGUGCCCCCUAUUCUCAGACCAUACGGAUAUGGUAACAUCUCUGAAUAUGGAUGCACCCUAGGAAAAACCAGGGAUAAUCCUCGAAUUGACUGAAAUUAAAUUUCUAAAUAUUUCCACUCUUUGGGUCUUUAAAUAGUAUCUAAACUGGGUUUCCAAAAAUUUUUGGAAAACUUCUUACUCUCACAUACUGGAGAUUAUACACCAAGAUUCAUACUAUAUUUAUUACAUGUAAAAAAUGUUGCGGAAGGACGGUUUUAAAGUGAUGACUGGAUGACCUAUUUGUUUAUAAUUUUAAAUUAUUUUCUUAAAUUAUAUAGCUCUCUCAACCUUCCACAGGUGGAAUUUGGUAAUCCCAUCUAUUGAAACAUAUUUUAAAACCUUAUUGUGCAACAGUCCAAAUAUAUAUCUAAAGAGAAAUAAAAUGACCCCCCAGCCACAUAUACAUUUUCCAUCU